GUUAACUUCCAUUAUGUGAGAGCAGAUGAAACCAAAGCCUUGGCCCACACAGCAAACCUUUGGGUAGCAACAUGUUCUAGAAAAAUGGAGCCUGACGAGUCCAGAUUGCUUUUUCUUGAAAUAUCAAGCAAGUCUAAAAUGAUUACUACCCAUGAGACUUUUUUUAAUGCUGUUAGGUUUGGGGGUGUGUUAGAUUGUUUUGCAUUGCUAUAAAUGAGUACCUGAGGCUGAGUCAUCUAUAAAGAAAAGAGGUUUAAUUGGCUCAUAUUUCUGCCUAGCCCUGGCAUAGUUGGCUUCUAGUGAGGCUUCAGGACGCUUUUACUCAUGGUAGAAGGCAAGGGGGAGCAGGCAUGUCACACGGCAAGAGAGGGAGCAAGAGAGAGGGAAGGAGGUGCUAGGUUCCUUUAAAUUGUAAACUAAUAGCAAGAACUCACUCAUUCCCAUGAGGCUGGCACCAGGCCAUUCAUGAGGGAGAGUCCCUCCUGACCCAAAUACCUCCCACUGGGCCCCACCUCCAAUGCUGGGAAUCACAUUUCAACAUAAGAUUCAGAGGGUGAAAACACUCAAAGCCUACCAGGAGGUAAAAUGAUAUGACAAUGUGAGGUCUAUGUUACCUGAAAGGUAGCAGGAGGCAUAGCAGAUGAUGGGAAGAAGAAAAGUGCAGCAACUACCCAGUCCUCACCAUCAAAGAGCCCUCCCCCGUUUACAGAAGAAGACUAAAGAGCUUGGCGGUGGGGAGCAACACAAAAUGGGGAGUAGACUAGGCAGAAGGGACCAGUACAGAGAUAAGAGACCCUGAGCAGAGAGGACAGAUCCAAGGGAGAAAGGCUGGAGGCUGGGGACCCAGCUGGAGGCCAGCACAAUGGCCUGCACGAGAGGUGAGCCCUUCGGAGGAAGAGAUGAGAAAAGGAAACACCUGUGACCCAUCACCAUCAGCCUCGGCUUGCUGCUCCAUUGGCCGCCCUUUCUACUUCUGAUCCGUAUGUGCCUAUUUAGCAGCACAGUCUGUCUCUCAUUCUAGAGUGUGCUUCGGCCCUGUGUUAGUACGUUUUAGAAUGUCAGGGUCCUGUCAUUUCAUCGUCAGCAGAUUCAGUGACCAGAGAGAAGAGGAAACACAGGGAAGCUUUAUAUUAAUAAAAGUCUCGCGUUGAGUAUUCCUAAAGAACAGUCCAAAGUAAGCAGCUUGCCUGCUUCUUUCCUGGUGACAGUAAUGAAUUGGGGCCUACCCCUUCCCAGAGCUCCUGAAAAGCAAUUGGAUCCAGACUCCACUCCAGAACCGGAAUGGACUUUUUGCUCAACACAGCUGCUGCCGGCCAGUCAGCUUCAUGGGACAUGUGCCAAGAGGUCUUCCAUUCCAUCUUUAAUAAACAAAUUAGAGUCCCAACAAAAACUCUUCCAAUGAGCCCUUUUGCUGAGCUAAAUUCAACAUAUGUAGUAAUCUAGGAGGAUGCACCAGAAUAGAAAACUACUUUAAGCCACAGAAGCUAAAGGAGCAAUUGUAAUGUAAGUGUUUUCUACGAAGUAUGUAUGUAGGAUCAGCAAGCAUGGCAAAUGCACACCAGCCGCUGCAGGGAUUCGGGGCUAUGAGUGCAUGCAGGCAGAGCUGAGACUGUGGAUUCUGGAAGAAGAAUCCCCUUGAGAGAGCAUCUAAUUCAAAAUUCAUCCAUAUAUGGCUUAAAAGCCAGCCAGGUUAUCAUAUCAUCUGUAAUGAAUUCACUAGAGCCAAGAGCAUUUAUAUCUUGAAGAUCAGAGUAAGAUUCCCAACAAAACAAAAACUAAGGUUCUCAGCAUGUUGACGGAGGAGGAUUACAUGGAUCAGGCUGUUCUUUGGAGCAGUAGUUGUUUAUAUCCAUCUGCCUUUUCUGCCACCUAAGUGCGUGCCGCCACUCCAUGGAAGAUUCAAUGGACUUGGACACAAGCCCCCUGUGGCCCCAGAACUACCUUUUGGUUGUGAACUAAAGGCCGACAAAGGUGAUUGCUUUAGGGUAGAUAAUGAUGAAAAUAAGCGCCAGUUGCCUUUAAGAAUGGUCAGUUUAGGGGCUGUGUAAAAGAUGAAUUGCACAUUAUUGAAGAAGAGGCCAUGAAUUACGAAGGCUGUCCUAUUGAAGUAACACUGGGAACUUUGAAAAUGUCAGUACAGCCAACGGUUUCCCUUGGGGGCUUUGAAAUAACAUCAGCAUGGGAUUACAGUUGAAGUGUGGAUCAAGACCAGUGCAUAUUAGUGGGUAUGGAGGAAGAGGCAGAGUCAAAAGAUGCGGAGGAGAAUGUGAAACUCUUCAGUAUUUAAUAUAUCUGGAAGGCAGUCCUCCACUGGAGGUAGUAGCAAGUUUCUGCAGAAAAAAGUAAAACUUGCUGCUGAUGAAGACAAUGAUGACAAUUUUGAUGAUGAGGAAAUUGAAGAACAAUCUCCAGUGAAGAAAUCUAUGCAAGAUACUCCAACCAAAAAUGCACCAAAUCAAACCAGAAUGGAAAAGACUCAAAACUAUCAAGACCAAGAUUGAAAGGUCAUAAAUACUUCAAAAAACGGGAAAAAACCUCCUAAAAAUACCAAAGGAUCUAGUUCCAUAGAAGACAUGAAAGCAAAAAUGCAAGCAAGUAUAGAAAAAGCACAUCGAACAGUCCUGGGCAGUACUGCAAAAUUAAGUCCAAAGACGGGGAGAGAGAAAAGAGACAAACAGAGUCCAUGCCGAGUAUCAUCAGCCAUCCAGACUGAAGUCUUGUUUUUAUCUGAAUCCCCUUUCCUGAUGUGCCAGCCAUGCUCCUUCCAGGCUGGAAACAAACUCACCCUUAUGUCCUAAAGCACUUUCUUGUGAUGGCUGUGAUGCUGUGAGCCUUGCCCUUUGCCUUCUGUUACUUGUGUAUUUGCCUCACCUCUCUGACCAUGUUUUAAUCUCCUUUGGAUAUCCUUGGCUGCUCAAUAAAUGUUUGAAUGAAUCAAAAAAGAAAA